rnacentral:lncRNA from 1 species
CUGCUUCCCAGGAAACUUCAUUUCACAUUGGAUUAGACUGCCCAGGAGGGCAACGCUGGGCUGGGGCAGCUGGGCAACUCUGCCAGGGCCUCGCUGCCCACUAAGCUGCCUUCCACAGCUCGCUAGACCCGCAUGAUUGUGGCUGUGAAUUGUGCCAGCCACCCUGAUACACUCACCAGUGCCUCCACCCCAUGACACACGGAAUUUAGGGGGAGGGAAGGAAGAACUCAGGUAUGCUCAAAUUAUCAACAAGAAAACCCAGAAAAUUUACAUUGUUGAUGAGCACCAUGAUGGACAAGUUUCCAGGAAGAAAAACUUGGUUUUCACUUGUGGGCCACAGCCAUGCCUGAGAUCUGCCUAAUGGGAAUGGAGCCGGCAACUUCCUGCUGCCUUGCUUUCUCCGCCAGCCCCUGGCCCACAGUCCAGCCUCAGAAGGCUGAGGGGGGUGCUUCGGUUUGUUUCUUUUUUCUCAACGGGUCGACAUUUUAAAUUUUUCAGUAUCCAAGGCAUUAUGAGGACUUAGUAAACAGAUGCAUUUAAUCUAAUUAAAGCAAGGACGACGAGUGAGUGAAAAAUUACAUUUUCACUUGGGUUCUGAAGAUUUAGUUGCACAUCCAAGAAUAAUGAUGUUUUUAAAGCCAGCCCAAUAAACUUGAGAUUGCAAGUUUUCGGUGGCUCCUGGAUAAGAUGCCACUUCGAUCAUCCUAGACAAUGUGCCUUUUGAGGAGCUGCUCAGCAGCUUUGGGGACUCUGGAUAAAGGCUUAUGAUUUUUUUUUCUUUUGCCUUUGUUUCAAAGUAGUUUGCAGGUUUGAGAGUCCAUUUUGAUAGGCCUGUUUCAUAAUAACAUACGCUCCUAC